rnacentral:tRNA from 1 species
GCUCCCAUGGCGUAGUGGUCACUGCGCUCGCCUUGCACGCGGGAGACCCGGGUUCGAUUCCCGGCGGUGCCA